GCCCAGCACCGAAUCCUGUAUCGUCUUGAUACUAGGAAAUGUGGUGUUUAGGCCGUGCUUUGUGCCGGUAUGAUUCUCCUCAAGUCCACUUGAUUGUGGCUUCAGGCCCAGAGAGGGUGUAAGGCCCGUGGAGGCGAGUCGUCCGGUGCCCGGCACGUCCUUAGAGUCGGGUUGUUUGGGAAUGCAGCCCAAAGCGGGUGGUAAACUCCAUCCAAGGCUAAAUACUAGCACGAGUCCGAUAGCGAAGAAGUACCGCGAGGGAAAGUUGAAAAGAACUUUGAAGAGAGAGUUCAAGAGUACGUGAAACCGCUGAGAGGCAAACUGGUGGAGCUGAAAUGGUCUUGAGGAAUUCAGCCCUUCCUACUAGAGUUGGCGUCGGUUGUCUGAGAUCUCACGACUCCGCUGGCGCUCAUCUUCGUGGAGGAUAGGUGCACUUUCUUCUUGAUCGGACCACGACCGGCGAUUUGUCUUGUCUGACGUAAGAUGGAAGGUAGCGUUGGCUUCGGCGAACGUAUUAUAGCCGCUUAUUCGGAUGAGCAAGGCGUUGGAAGCAUUUUUAGACGCUUGCCCUUUUGGGCUCGUACGUUGUCACUUUCAGGCGUGUCGCCGGCUUCACUGCCUUUGGCAGGGGUGUUGGAGACGUGUCGGUUAGGGGCGGCCUCUGCGAUUGGCGUCGACAGUCUGUGGUUAUGAAGUAGGCAGUCCACCUGACCCGUCUUGAAACACGGACCAAGGAGUCUAACAUGUGCGCGAGUCAUUGGGCUCUACGAAACCUAAAGGCGAAGUGAAAGUGAAGAUCCAUUUUGUUGGAUUGAGGUGGGAUCCUGAGUCACGUGCUCGGGCGCACUACCGGCCCGUUCGACAUGUUCUCAUGCGGGCGGAGCAAGAGCGUACACGUUGGGACCCGAAAGAUGGUGAACUA
rnacentral:rRNA from 1 species